GACGAACGCUGGCGGCGUGCUUAACACAUGCAAGUCGAACGGAAAGGCCCUGCUUUUGUGGGGUGCUCGAGUGGCGAACGGGUGAGUAACACGUGAGUAACCUGCCCUUGACUUUGGGAUAACUUCAGGAAACUGGGGCUAAUACCGGAUAGGAGCUCCUGCUGCAUGGUGGGGGUUGGAAAGUUUCGGCGGUUGGGGAUGGACUCGCGGCUUAUCAGCUUGUUGGUGGGGUAGUGGCUUACCAAGGCUUUGACGGGUAGCCGGCCUGAGAGGGUGACCGGCCACAUUGGGACUGAGAUACGGCCCAGACUCCUACGGGAGGCAGCAGUGGGGAAUAUUGCACAAUGGGCGGAAGCCUGAUGCAGCAACGCCGCGUGCGGGAUGACGGCCUUCGGGUUGUAAACCGCUUUCGCCUGUGACGAAGCGUGAGUGACGGUAAUGGGUAAAGAAGCACCGGCUAACUACGUGCCAGCAGCCGCGGUGAUACGUAGGGUGCGAGCGUUGUCCGGAUUUAUUGGGCGUAAAGGGCUCGUAGGUGGUUGAUCGCGUCGGAAGUGUAAUCUUGGGGCUUAACCCUGAGCGUGCUUUCGAUACGGGUUGACUUGAGGAAGGUAGGGGAGAAUGGAAUUCCUGGUGGAGCGGUGGAAUGCGCAGAUAUCAGGAGGAACACCAGAGGCGAAGGCGGUUCUCUGGGCCUUUCCUGACGCUGAGGAGCGAAAGCGUGGGGAGCGAACAGGCUUAGAUACCCUGGUAGUCCACGCUGUAAACGGUGGGUACUAGGUGUGGGGUCCAUUCCACGGGUUCCGUGCCGUAGCUAACGCUUUAAGUACCCCGCCUGGGGAGUACGGCCGCAAGGCUAAAACUCAAAGGAAUUGACGAGGCCCCGCACAAGCGGCGGAGCAUGCGGAUUAAUUCGAUGCAACGCGUAGAACCUUACCUGGGUUUGACAUGGAUCGGGAGUGCUCAGAGAUGGGUGUGCCUCUUUUGGGGUCGGUUCACAGGUGGUGCAUGGCUGUCGUCAGCUCGUGUCGUGAGAUGUUGGGUUAAGUCCCGCAACGAGCGCAACCCUUGUUCACUGUUGCCAGCACGUUAUGGUGGGGACUCAGUGGAGACCGCCGGGGUCAACUCGGAGGAAGGUGGGGAUGACGUCAAGUCAUCAUGCCCCUUAUGUCCAGGGCUUCACGCAUGCUACAAUGGCUGGUACAGAGAGUGGCGAGCCUGUGAGGGUGAGCGAAUCUCGGAAAGCCGGUCUCAGUUCGGAUUGGGGUCUGCAACUCGACCUCAUGAAGUCGGAGUCGCUAGUAAUCGCAGAUCAGCAACGCUGCGGUGAAUACGUUCCCGGG
rnacentral:rRNA from 1 species